AUGAACGCUGGCGGCGUGCCUAAUACAUGCAAGUCGAGCGAACAGACGAGGAGCUUGCUCCUCUGACGUUAGCGGCGGACGGGUGAGUAACACGUGGAUAACCUACCUAUAAGACUGGGAUAACUUCGGGAAACCGGAGCUAAUACCGGAUAAUAUAUUGAACCGCAUGGUUCAAUAGUGAAAGACGGUUUUGCUGUCACUUAUAGAUGGAUCCGCGCCGCAUUAGCUAGUUGGUAAGGUAACGGCUUACCAAGGCGACGAUGCGUAGCCGACCUGAGAGGGUGAUCGGCCACACUGGAACUGAGACACGGUCCAGACUCCUACGGGAGGCAGCAGUAGGGAAUCUUCCGCAAUGGGCGAAAGCCUGACGGAGCAACGCCGCGUGAGUGAUGAAGGUCUUCGGAUCGUAAAACUCUGUUAUUAGGGAAGAACAAAUGUGUAAGUAACUAUGCACGUCUUGACGGUACCCAAUCAGAAAGCCACGGCUAACUACGUG
rnacentral:rRNA from 1 species